CGCACAGUAAACGAUGAAUACUAACUGUUUGCGAUACACAGCAAGUGGUACAGUGAAAACGUUAAGUAUUCCACCUGGGGAGUACGCCGGCAACGGUGAAACUCAAAGGAAUUGACGGGGGCCCGCACAAGCGGAGGAACAUGUGGUUUAAUUCGAUGAUACGCGAGGAACCUUACCCGGGCUUGAAUUGCAUUUGAAUACGGCAGAAACGUCGUAGCCAGCAAUGGCAAAUGUGAAGGUGC
rnacentral:rRNA from 1 species